GCGAGGGUGGCCGAGUCAGGACAAAGGCGGCGGGCUUAAGACCCGCUCCCGUAGGGGUCCGUGGGUUCGAAUCCCUCCCCUCGCA
rfam:Halolamina pelagica strain CDK2 SY89_scf01, whole genome shotgun sequence.